UACAGAGGGUGCAAGCGUUGUUCGGAAUUAUUGGGCGUAAAGGGCGCGUAGGCGGUGCGGUAAGUCACCUGUGAAAUCUCCUGGCUUAACUGGGAGCCUGCAGGCGAAACUACCGUGCUGGAGUGUGGGAGAGGUGCGUGGAAUUCCCGGUGUAGCGGUGAAAUGCGUAGAUAUCAGGAAGAACACCCGUGGCGAAGGCGGCUCUCUGGGACGGUACUGACGCUGAGACGCGAAAGCGUGGGGAGCGAACAGG
rnacentral:rRNA from 1 species